AGGGAUAUAGUUAAACGGUAUAACUACGGUCUCCAAAACCGUCGUUGUGGGUUCGAUUCCUACUAUCCCUGCUC
rnacentral:tRNA from 1 species